GAAAAUUGUGCUCUGAGUUCGUGAUUAUUUUCUUAACAUAAAUAAAAACACAAACAUAAAAAUAUAUACAUAUUUGCGCCUGCGCCGCCAGCCGUCGCUCUUGGCGUGUAUCAUUCAUGAGAAGAAUUUGUGGUCUUCAUCAAAUUACGGAUACGGAAUGCUCACAAGUAGUCAUAAUGUUGCAGACAAGUGCUGGGGAAUGUGUAAUGAAAUGCCAAACCAGCAACAGGUUAAGCUGUUGGCCAACGCGCCGUUGUGGUACCUUACAUUUGUGGCAGAAAUUAAAAGCAAAAUCGAUUUUAACUGGGCAUAUAAUUCCACAUGUUCAAACUGAUUGGGUCAACAAAUUUGGUACUGACCACAUGCCUGUGGACUGACACUUCUCUGUGACGUCGAUCGCACAUGGAAAUACUGUUAAGGCCUUAGCGAUGUGUUCGUCAUUGAAUUUAUAAUGCAAUUAACUACAAUAAAU